AAUGAUAGAGGCGCGCCCGAAAUGAGUAACGCGGUCGACGGAUGCCGAUCCGCGCGUGAAAGGUGACGGCGCCGAAGAGGUCUUCCCCUCGGCAGGGGAUGCCCGUCUGGCAGAACGGAGAACAUCCGUUAUGCUGUCGCAGAAAUGCGGAGCGCUAUCCU
rnacentral:ncRNA from 1 species